AUUCCAGCUCCAAAAGUGUAUAUUAAAAUUGUUGCGGUUAAAAAGCUCGUAGUUGGAUCUUCGACCAUCAAGAGCGGUAGCCCAUUGGGUUUCACUGCUUCUUGUGGUCUCCUUACUGGUUUUUCCUUGGUGCUCUUAACUGAGUGCCUUGGUUGGCUAGUGCUUUUACUUUGAAAAAAUUAGAGUGCUCAAAGCAGGCGUUUGCCUGAAUAGUGGUGCAUGGAAUAAUGGAAUAGGACCUCGGUUCUAUUUUGUUGGUUUUCGGAGCUCGAGGUAAUGAUUAAGAGGGACAAACGGGGGCAUUUGUACUGCUGCGUUAGAGGUGAAAUUCUUGGAUCGCAGCAUGACAAACAACUGCGAAAGCAUUUGCCAAGAAUGUUUUCAUCA
rnacentral:rRNA from 1 species